rnacentral:rRNA from 1 species
AAUCAACGCUGGCGGCGUGCCUCAGACAUGCAAGUCGAACGAUUAAAGCUCUCUUCGGAGAGUGCAUAGAGUGGCGCACGGGUGAGUAACACGUAAGUAAUCUACCUUCGAGUGGGGAAUAACGUCCGGAAACGGACGCUAAUACCGCAUAAUGCAGCGGCAUCGCAAGAUGACAGUUGUUAAAGAUUUAUCGCUUGAAGAGGAGCUUGCGGCAGAUUAGCUAGUUGGUAAGGUAAUGGCUUACCAAGGCUACGAUCUGUAACCGGUCUAAGAGGACGGUCGGUCACACUGACACUGAAUAACGGGUCAGACUCCUACGGGAGGCAGCAGUCGGGAAUUUUGGGCAAUGGGCGAAAGCCUGACCCAGCAACGCCGCGUGAAGGAUGAAGUAUUUCGGUAUGUAAACUUCGAAAGAAUAGGAAGAAUAAAUGACGGUACUAUUUAUAAGGUCCGGCUAACUACGUGCCAGCAGCCGCCGCUGUAAC